rnacentral:tRNA from 1 species
GCUAUAGUUCAAUGGUAGAACACGAGCUUGUGGCGCUUGUGACGAGGGUUCAAUUCCCUCUAGC